AACGAACGCUGGCGGCAUGCCUAACACAUGCAAGUCGAACGAGACCUUCGGGUCUAGUGGCGCACGGGUGCGUAACGCGUGGGAACCUGCCCUUAGGUUCGGCAUAACUCCCCGAAAGGGGUGCUAAUACCGGAUAAUGUCUUCGACCCAAAGAUUUAUCGCCUUUGGAUGGGCCCGCGUUGGAUUAGCUAGUUGGUAGGGUAAAAGCCUACCAAGGCGACGAUCCAUAGCUGGGCUGAGAGGAUGAUCAGCCACACUGGGACUGAGACACGGCCCAGACUCCUACGGGAGGCAGCAGUGGGGAAUAGUGGACAAUGGGCUAAAGCCUGAUCCAGCAAUGCCGCGUGAGUGAUGAAGGCCUUAGGGUUGUAAAGCUCUUUUACCCGGGAUGAUAAUGACAGUACCGGGAGAAUAAGCUCCGGCUAACUCCGUG
rnacentral:rRNA from 1 species